rnacentral:rRNA from 1 species
AUUGAACGCUGGCGGCAGGCCUAACACAUGCAAGUCGAACGAGUGGCGGACGGGUGAGUAAUGUCUGGGAAACUGCCUGAUGGAGGGGGAUAACUACUGGAAACGGUAGCUAAUACCGCAUACCAUCGGAUGUGCCCAGAGGGGAUUAGCUAGUAGGUUGGGUAAAGGCUCACAUAGGCGACGAUCCCUAGCUGGUCUGAGAGGAUGACCAGCCACACUGGAACUGAGACACGGCCCAGACGCCUCUGGGAGGCAGCAGUGGGGAAUAUGCCACAAUGGGCGCAAGCCGGAUGCAGCCAUGCCGGGUGGAUGAAGAAGGCCUUCGGGGUUUAAAGUCCGUUCAGCGGGGAGGCGUUACACGCAGAAGAAGCACCGGCUAACUACGUGCCAGCAGCCGCGGUAAUAC